UAUUUUAAACGCUCAACUUCACUAAAUGAGGUAGUGCAAAUGAAAAUAAUGAGGUAUGUUUUCAAUGAGACAGUUCUCCUUCUAUCAGACUGGCACAAAGCUGUUCUGUGAUGUCACCCCCUGCUGGUGAGUGCAGUACACGGGCACUCCUUUCCAUGCUGAGGGAAGGGGACCAAGUCAUCUUCUAGCAUGAGGUCUGGCAACAGGUACCAAGAGCCUUACAAAGCUCCCUUUGCCAGAGUCUACCCCGAGACUGUGGACUAAGAUUUUUAGAUUUAUCACAACAAUAUUUAUAACAGGGGAAAGCUGGAAACCACCUAAGUGUCCAGCAGCCAACUUACUAACUCACAUGACAAACCAGCAUUCGCCACAAACUUACUAACAAUUCCUAUGACAAACCAGCGUUUACCAUGAGAAGAAUGUUCACCUAAUCGUAUGGGAAAGUGCCCAGCAUCAGCAGAGGAAGCUGGACAUGAAAUACACGUACACACAGGAUCCUCAUCUGCUGCUUAAAGCUCUGCCUCUCCAUACUCUGUCCACAGGAGGCAGGCAGGGAAUCCUCACGAUGGCGUCAGUGGUUUUCCCUCAAUGAAAGGGCUCGGCCUGAGCUCAAGACUUCCCUCCGUGCUGCCCUUCACUGGCUCUGAGAAUGCUUCUCCCAGAUGCUCCAGCCUGAUGUCAGUGUGAGCAGGUGUGAGCAGGGGUGAGAAGGAAACAUCAGAUGAAGGGAGACUUGCAGCAGAAUCACAGCCUGGAGAGGGGGGAGGCAGCCCUGCGGACACAGCACUUUCGGGACUGGAUUGACUGCUGGCAGUUCGUGGGACAGAUAGAAAGGUGGCAGCCCUAGGUUGCCUCCACAAACCCUCACCAGAAAGCAAGUGUCCACAGCACCAGAGGAGGACAUAGACUGGAGUUCACUUCUGCUGCCUCACAGCUCUGGGUCCCCUCUUCUGCAGUCACACUGCCCCGAGAAAGGCUGAUCCAGGCCUCAGCACUCCUGGCGUCCACAGCAGCGCUCCCCCAGGACUCACAAUGAUGGCUUCAGACCCCUUCCAACAGGUCCUGCCCACCCUUCAAUCUCAUUCCCCACCACUCCCAGCACCCCUGCAAUUCUGCAAGCCUCGUGUAGUCCAAGGGGCUUCACAUUUCUGUCCCCUCUGCCAGGAUACUCCGGCCCCAGACAGUGGCACAGGCACUCCCUCUUCACUCAGACCUACUGCUUGACCAUCUCCUUCUCAGAGAGGCUUCCCUGAGCCCCCAUAACAGACCCACAGCAGCCUAGAGCCUUCUCCUGCUCUGGUCUUCAUAACUCAUUCCCUGACAGAUAUUUGUAGAGAUACAUCUGCUUAUUAGCUGUUUUCCAUCAAGCUAUAAGCCUCAGGAGGGAGGGAGUUAGUCUAUCUGGCACCCAGUGACCCAUUCUCCAUGUCCUGAAUGAUGCCUGGGACACAGUCGGUGCUUAUUAAGUAUCUGUUUGAAAAAAACAAACAAAAUGAGACCAAUAAUGGCUCUCCCAAAAAAAGAAGGUUCAAUUACGUGUAAA